rnacentral:tRNA from 1 species
GUUGACAUAGUUUAACCUAAAACUUUAGAUUGUGAUUCUAACAACAGGGGUUAAAAUCCCCUUGUCAACC